ensembl:snRNA U6 U6 spliceosomal RNA
AUUCUUGUUUUGGUAGCAUCUAUAAUAAAAUUGGAAUGAUACAAAGAUUAGCAAGGCUCCUAAACAAGGGUGACACAAAUUUGUGAAGUGUUCCAUAUUUUA